CAAAAGUUUGGUCCUGACUUUGCUAUCAGCUUUAGCUAAUCUUACACAUGCAAGUAUCCGCACCCCUGUGAGAAUGCCCUCAAUCCCCCGCCCGGGAAUAAGGAGUUGGUAUCAGGCACAUAUUAUUAUAGCCCAUGACACCUUGCUUAGCCACACCCUCAAGGGAACUCAGCAGUGAUAAACAUUAAGCCAUAAGUGAAAACUUGACUUAGUCAAAGCUAAGAGGGUCGGUAAAACUCGUGCCAGCCACCGCGGUUAUACGAGAGACCCAAGUUGAUAGACAGCGGCGUAAAGAGUGGUUAAGAACAAACCCUAAACUAAAGCCGAACGCUCUCAAAGCUGUCAUACGCACUCGAGAGUAUGAAGUUCAAUUACGAAAGUGGCUUUACUUUUUCUGAACCCACGAAAGCUAGGGCACAAACUGGGAUUAGAUACCCCACUAUGCCUAGCCCUAAACAUUGACAAUGAACUACAACCAUUGUCCGCCUGGGAACUACGAGCACCAGCUUAAAACCCAAAGGACUUGGCGGUGCUUUAGAUCCACCUAGAGGAGCCUGUUCUAGAACCGAUAACCCCCGUUAAACCUCACCCCUCCUUGUUUAUCCCGCCUAUAUACCACCGUCGUCAGCUUACCCUGCGAAGAUCCAACAGUAAGCACAAUUGGCACAGCCCAAAACGUCAGGUCGAGGUGUAGCGUAUGGAGGGGGAAGAAAUGGGCUACAUUCCCUACCUCAGGGAAUCACGAACGAUACUCUGAAAUAAGUAUCUAAAGGAGGAUUUAGCAGUAAGCAGAAAAUAGAGCGUUCCGCUGAAACCGGCCCUGAAGCGCGCACACACCGCCCGUCACUCUCCCCGAGCUUAAUAAACUCAACUAACUAAAACCCUAUAACUGCAAAGGGGAGGCAAGUCGUAACAUGGUAAGUGUACCGGAAGGUGCACUUGGAAAAAU
rnacentral:ncRNA from 1 species